rnacentral:rRNA from 1 species
UACGUAGGGUGCAAGCGUUGUCCGGAAUCAUUGGGCGUAAAGCGCGCGUAGGUGGCUUCGUAAGUCCGUUGUGAAAGUCAAAGGCUCAACCUUUGAAUGCCGAUGGAUACUGCGAAGCUAGAGUACGGAAGAGGCGAGUGGAAUUCCUGGUGUAGCGGUGGAAUGCGCAGAUAUCAGGAAGAACACCCGUGGCUAAGGCGGCUCUCUAGUGCGGUACUGACGCUGAGACGCGAAAGCGUGGGGAGCGAACAGG